rnacentral:lncRNA from 1 species
GGGCCAGCAGGUGAGAACCCAGCGAGCUUGGGAGCAUGGUGAGGGAGGGGGCCACCUGUCUUCUCACCCCCCUCCUCAGAUUUGAGGGGAAGGGCAGGAAUUUGGAGAUCCUUGAGGGACCUGUGUUCCUGCCAUUAGCCGUGCUAUGGGGGGAGGAGGAAAGGGAGGGGGCAGGCUGGCACUGCCCAGCAGUGUUCCAGCAGUUCAGGAUGCUCGAAGAUUCCUCCUAAAGCAUCAGAGCACCUGCCACCUCCCUCCCCAGCCCCUGCCCCACAUCAAGUCCAAAGGAUGCUGGGGGAGGGGGACCUGCAGCUUCUUCCUGGCUCUGGGGUGGGUUUAUUUUUGAGACAGGGUCUCACUCUGUCACCCAGGCUGGAAUGCAAUGGCACAGUCUCGGCUCACUGCAGCCUCCACCUCCUGGGCUCAAGCAAUCCUCCCACCUCAGCCUCCUGAGUAGCUGGGAUUUCCUUAGGGCGGGCUCUGUUGUGACCUUCCCUGUGACCUGGGCAUUUCCCAGUUUCUGCCCCUGGAAAUCAGAGCCAGGGAUCUGGGCUGGGGAAUUUUAGGGGCUACUAAGUGGUAGAACUGGGACUUGAGCUUCUGAGCUGGGGUGCUUCAGAUGCAAGGAGAAAGAACAGGCCUCAAGCCCGCAGUUCACAUGGCCCCUCCCCAUGUGAAUUUUCAUGGUGCUGUUUAUAUGCUAGCAGAAGCUGGGCAAAGUGAGUGUUCAGGUGGCCCUGAUCCAGCUCUCAGGAGUCCCAUUCCCUUCCUCCUCUGUCGCCCACACAGCCCCCACCACCUGGCCGCCCACCUGAAAAACUUUUCCCCAAGUUCUUGAGAAGUCGCGUAGGAUCCAGGAGAGAAAAAUCAAAGUAAUAAAACCUCAUUUAAUUCCUAACG